GAUGAACACUAGCUACAGGCUUAACACAUGCAAGUCGAGGGGCAGCACAGUGUAGCAAUACACGGGUGGCGACCGGCGCACGUGUGCGUAGCAGGGAUCCAAUCGUCCAGUUACUCGGGUAUAGCCUUCUGAAAGGAAGAUUAAUCCCCGGUGGCAUUCUUUUAAGGCAUCGCCCAUUGAUUAAAGAUUUGUCGGUAACGGAUGAGGAUGCGUACGAUUUGCUGGUUGGCGGGGUAACGGCCCACCAAGGCUACGAUCGUUAGGGGUGCUGAGAGGAAGGUCCCCCACAGUGGAACUGAGACACGGUCCAGACUCCUACGGGAGGCAGCAGUGAGGAAUAUUGGUCAAUGGUCGAGAGACUGAACCAGCCAAGUAGCGUGAAGGAUGACUGCCCUAUGGGUUGUAAACUUCUUUUGUUUGGGAAUAAAGUCAGGUACGUGUACCUGUUUGUAUGUACCAUUCGAAUAAGCAUCGGCUAAUUCCGUGCCAGCCGCCGCGGUAACAC
rnacentral:rRNA from 1 species